rnacentral:rRNA from 1 species
CCUACGGGAGGCAGCAGUGAGGAAUAUUGGUCAAUGGCCGGAAGGCUGAACCAGCCAAGCCGCGUGAGGGAGGAAGGCUCAGAGGUUCGCAAACCUCUUUUGCCGGGGAACAAAAGUCCCGACUCGUCCAGUCUUGCGUGUACCCGAAGAAUAAGCAUCGGCUAACUCCGUGCCAGCAGCCGCGGUAAUACGGAGGAUGCGAGCGUUAUCCGGAUUUAUUGGGUUUAAAGGGUGCGGAGGCUGGUCUUUAAGCCAGCGGUGAAAGUUCGUGGCUCAACCAUCCCAGUGCCGUUGAAACUGGACGCCUUGAGUGUGGCUGAGGCAUGCGGAAUGCGUGGUGUAGCGGUGAAAUGCAUAGAUAUCGCGCAGAACUCCGAUUGCGAAGGCAGCUUGCUGAGCCGUAACUGACGCUGAGGCACGAAAGCGUGGGGAUCGAACAGGAUUAGAUACCCGUGUAGUC